AUGACUCUGAUUCUUCUGCUGAGUUGGACACACUCUCUGUCAGGUCUUCUUCCAUCUGCUGGACGCUUCCCAACUGUGCAUCCACAUGUAUUUGAUGAUCAUCUUAAAUUUAGCCAAAAAGACUCAGAACGUCAGCCUGCUCCGGGGCCAGCAUAUCGCCCUCCUUGCACACCUCAUAGUCAGACAGCAGGGACAUUCAGUACUAUGUUGAAGGCGUUGGUAAGAAUAGGCAUCUCUUAUGAAGGACCUCUUCAAGGAGAACUACAUACCACUGCUCAAGGAAAUAAGAGAGGACACAAACAAAUGGAAAAACAUUCCAUGCUCAUGGUUGGAAAGAACCAAUAUCAUGAAAAUGGCCAUACUGCCCAACAUAAUCCGUAGAUUCAAUGUUAUCCCCACCAAGCUACCAUUGACUUUCUUCACAGAACUGGAAAAAAACACCUUAAAUUUCAUAUGGAACCAAAAAAGAGCCCACAUAGCCAAGACAAUUCUAAGCAAAACAAACAACAAAAAACCCAAAGCUAGAGGCAUCUCACUACCCGACUUCAAACUAUACUACAAGGCUACAGUAAUCAAAACAUCAUGGUACUUGUACCAAACAGAGAUAUAGACCAACGGAACAGAGCAGAGGCCUCAGAAAUAAUGGCACACACCUACAACCAUCUGAUCUUUGACAAACCUGACAAAAACAAGCAAUGGGGAAAGGAGUCCUUGUUUAAUAAAUGAUGUUGGGAAAACUGGCCAGCCAUAUGCAGAAAGCUGAAACUGGACCCCUUCCUUACACCUUACACUAAAAUUAACUCAAGGUGGAUUAAAGAUUUAUACAUAAGACCUAAAACCAUAAAAACCCUGGAAGAAAACCUAGGCAAUACCAUCCAGGACAGAGGCAUGAAGUCAAAGACUUCAUGACUAAAUCACCAAAAGCAAUGGCAAGAAAAGCCAAAAUAGACAAAUGGAAUCUAAUGAAACUAAAGAGCUUCUUCACAGCAAAAUAAACUAUCAUUAGAGUGAACAGGCAACCUACAGAAUGGGAUAAAAUUUUUGCAAUCUACCCAUCUGACAAAGGGCUUAUAUCCAGAAUCUACAAAGAACUUAAACAAAUUUACAGGAAAAAAAACAAACCAUGACAACGUGGGUGAAGGGUAUGAACAGACACUUCUCAAAAGGAGACAUUUAUGCAGCCAACAAACAUAUGGAAAAAAGCUAAUCAACACUGGUCAUUAGAGAAAUGCAAAUCAAAACCACAAUGAGAUGCCAUCUCACACAAGUUAGAAUGAACAGUGAUCAUUUAAAAGUCAUGAGAUAACAGAUGCUGGAGAGGAUAUGGAGAAAUAGGAAAGCUUUUACGCUGUUGGUGAGAGUGUAAAUUAAUUCAACCAUUGUGGGAGACAGUGUGAGGAUUCCUCAAGGAUCUAGAACUAGAAAUGCCAUUUGACCCAACAACCCCAUUACUGGGUAUAUACCCAAAGAAUUAUAAAUCAUUCUAUUAUAAAGACACAUGCACACGUAUGUUUAUUGCAUCACUGUUCACAGUAGCAAAGACUUGGAACCAACCCAAAUGCCCAUCAAUGAUAGACUGGAUAAAGGAAAUGUGGCACAUAUACAGCAUGGAAUACUAUGCAGCCAUAAAAAGGAUGAGUUCAUGUUCUUUGUAGGACCAUAGAUGAAGCUGGAAACCAUCAUUCUCAGCAAACUAACACAAGAACAUAAAACCAAACACUGCAUGCGCUCACUCAUAAGUGGGAGUUGAACAAUGAGAACACAUGGGUACAGCAAGGUAAACAUCAUACACCAGGGCCUGUCAGGCGGUGGGGCUAGGGGAGGGACAGCAUUAGGAGAAAUAUCUAAUGUAGAUGAUGGGGUGAUGGAUGCAGCUAACCACCAUGGCAUGUGUAUACCUAUGUAACAAACCUGCAUGUUCUGCAUGUUCCCCAGAACUUAAAGUGUAAUAAAACAAACAAACAAACAAACAAACAAACAGAAAAAGAGUGGGCACCCUUGCCUUGUUUCUGAUCUUAGAGGAAAGCUUUCAGUUUUUCACCCUUGAAUAGGGUGUUCACUGUGGGCUUUUCAUAUGCAUCCAUUAUUAUUUUGAGGUAAUUUCUUUCUAUUUCUAGUUUGUUGAGUGUUUUUUUAAUUAUGAAAAGAUGUUGACUUUUAUAAAAUGCCUUUUUUUCUGUAUCAAUUGAAAUGAUCAUGUGGUUUUUGUCCCUCAUUUUGUUAAUCUACAUUGAUGUACUAUAUUGAUUUUCUUUUCUUUUCUUUUUAAAAAUGGAAUGGAAAGAGAUAAGUACAUAGGUCCAAGCUCAAGGUCUAGGUUGAGGACAAUCAUUAGGAGUCCUAUUAAAGGACAACCAGUUUUAAGAACACUGUCAGGCAAGCUACCAUGGAGCUCUCCUUCACUCCAGGCUUAGCUCUUCCAGACUUCCCAGUACUGAUGAAGGGUCAUGAUUUUUUUAGCUUUGUCCAGUGCUGUCCUUCAUAAUAGAUGAAUGAAAAGUCCCAGAAACCUAUCCUGUUUGGGAAGGUUUUCUUUUAUUCCAGUCUUCGGUAUAUUAAUUUGGCAGUUAAGAUGCUUGGCAAAUUUCAGAGUCUCUCUACCUCUGUAGACCAGUGCCAAAUAAUUGUUUCCUGGAUUCGCCGUUAGCAGCUCUUCAUCUUCACCUUUGGCAAUGUAAGAAAAACCACCAUAUUCUGGCUUCCAGCCUUCACAGCCACAGUAGAGAAUUAAGUCUAGGGCAAAUUCAGCCUUGCUAUGGUCAUGAAUUAAAUUGUAGUGACUGGACUUCCAAUGCCUCAGCUCCCCCUGGCAUGUGGGAACACUUGAUUUUUUCUUUGUUUCAUUUUCCCCUGGCUCUGGGUCUGUUUGGUAAUCGCUCUGCUGGCUGUAGUUGCUAAUGGCUGCCUGAUUAUUCUCUGCCUCAGGAGGGCUAUGGCUAGUCCCUUCUUCAGUGCUAUUAGCAGCAGAAGCUGCUUCUUCCUUUUUUUUUUUUGUCAUCCGUCUCAUCUCGAAGUUGGAGAGCAGCAAGAAUAGUGCCUCAGAGCAAAAUAACUUUAUGCGCUCCUUCACUAUAUCUGGAAGCUUGCUCUCCUCAGCUUUCUCAUAAAACCUUUUGUUAGGGAGACCUCAGCUGCCCCAUUCCACAUCUCUGUUUUCCAAGGCCUCACGGACCUUUGCAAAUUUCUCAGGCUUAAGAAACUCCUUCAAGAGAGUUUCAGAACUUUCUUCAAACUCUCCUUGAAUUUGAACUUGGUAAUUCAUGUCCAGAUAAGUAGCAUUGAUCCAAUCAAACACAAUUUCAUAAUCUUGUGGGAUAUGAGGGAUCUGAGGUAUGAGAGGUUCAAACCUAGUCAAUGAAGGAUCAUGAAACCAGCAGCUUACAGACAAAUGCGACUUUUCUUCAGACACCUGGUGAAAGGACAUUUGAAAUGCUUCAAAGAAAACCAGUUUGUUCCAUGAAGGGAUAGAAGAUUUGACAAUCUGCUUCAGCUGAAAGUGUUCAUCAAUGUGGUACAGGUCCAGGGUAUCCCCCAGGCUCCUGUCCCAGGAAGGAAACAGGUGCAGGAUGAAGGUGAUCCAGCGCCCUUCCAGCUUAUCACAGCACAGCAGGGCGUCAGUGAAUUCAUAUUUAGUAUAGGACAUGUUAAUGGUUGAUUCCAGGUCAAUUUUGGAAAUAUCAGAAAGCCAGGACCGAAAAUCUUCAGACAGAAUUUUCCUUAAAGCAGAGAUGUGAGGUUCUCUUCUCUUCUUACAAAUCAUCACUUCUUCAAAUCACAAAUUCCAGUGCUGGAAUUUAUAUAAACCAUUAUACUUCUCAUGGAAGUCCAAGUUCAUAAGUUCCUUCUGAAGCCCUUCCAAGAAGUCUGGGCUUUGGAUAACGUUUGGGAUCAUCCAGUGAAGAAAGGGAUCCAUGUUCAUGACAAUGGCUUCAUGGCUGAAUGGUGUCCUAUGGCUCCAGGCUUCAGCUACCUGCUUUUUCAAGGUUUCCUCCAUGACAGCAUCUGAAAACUCUACCAUCACCUUCUUCUUUCCCUUUUUUUCCCACCUGGGCUGGGUCAGGCUCUGCUGGCCAUUUCCCAUUCAUCUCCUCCCAAGGUACCCAUUGAUUGAUUUUCAUAUGUUGAGUCAUCCUUGUAUAUGUAUAUAUAUAUGUGUGUGUGUGUGUGUAUAUAUAUAUA
rnacentral:lncRNA from 1 species